GCCGAGGCCGUCGGUGCUCAGCUGGCUGUGGCCGUUGCGCAUCAAGAAUACCUGUGUCUAUCUUUACUUCUGGGAGCAGCCAAGGGGGUACGCUACUACACGGGGUGGACCUGGUGAAUUCUAAGGCCUCCACUCGUAUAUGUCCUCGCUCUUUCAUCUCUUGCCCACCCAAACCCAUACAUCUGGAACUUGGAAUAUUCCCAACAACCCCGUAUCAUCUUCUUUGUAAGGUUUUCUUCCCCGCUUCCUUUUAAUCUGACCCAAUAUGCAAGUCAUCAGAACUCCUGAAGUUCAGAGUCACAAUUCACCAGCCUACACGGGACAGAAUCUUCACCUUUGCCACGCGUAGAUUACAG